AGAACGAACGCUGGCGGCAUGCCUAAUACAUGCAAGUCGAACGAACACUUCGGUGUUAGUGGCGCACGGGUGCGUAACGCGUGGGAAUCUGCCCUUGGGUUCGGAAUAACAGUUGGAAACGACUGCUAAUACCGGAUGAUGACGAAAGUCCAAAGAUUUAUCGCCCAGGGAUGAGCCCGCGUAGGAUUAGCUAGUUGGUGAGGUAAAGGCUCACCAAGGCGACGAUCCUUAGCUGGUCUGAGAGGAUGAUCAGCCACACUGGGACUGAGACACGGCCCAGACUCCGUACGGGAGGCAGCAGGUAGGGAAUAGUUAGGACAAGUGGGCGACGAAGCCUAGAUCCAGCAAUGCCGCGUGUAGUGAUGGAAGGUCCGUUAGGGUU
rnacentral:rRNA from 1 species